rnacentral:pre_miRNA from 1 species
AGUUAAACAAAUCGAGUUAUUCGAGUUAAUCGAGUUAUCGAAUCACCUCGAAUUUUUUUUUUCGAAUUUCGAGUUCGAAUCAGUUGAGCUUUCGAAAUUCGAAUAACUCGAAAUAUUUCGAA